UACGUAGGGGGCAAGCGUUGUCCGGAUUUAUUGGGCGUAAAGAGCGUGUAGGCGGCCAGGUAGGUCCGUUGUGAAAACUGGAGGCUUAACCUCCAGCUGUCGAUGGAAACCAUCUGGCUAGAGUCCGGAAGAGGAGAGUGGAAUUCCUGGUGUAGCGGUGGAAUGCGCAGAUAUCAGGAGGAACAUCCGUGGCGAAGGCGGCUCUCUGGGACGGUACUGACGCUGAGACGCGAAAGCGUGGGGAGCGAACAGG
rnacentral:rRNA from 1 species